rnacentral:rRNA from 1 species
UACGGAAGGCAGCAGUGGGGAAUAUUGCACAAUGGGCGAAAGCCUGAUGCAGCUAUGCCGCGUGUAUGAAGAAGGCCUUAGGGUUGUAAAGUACUUUCAUCGGGGAGGAAAAACAAAACUAAUAAUUUUAUUUCUUGACGUUACCCGAAAAAGAAGCACCGGCUAACUCCGUGCCAGCAGCCGCGGUAAUACGGAGGGUGCUAGCGUUAAUCAGAAUUACUGGGCGUAAAGAGCACGUAGGUGGUUUUUUUAAGUCAGAUGUGAAAUCCCUGGGCUUAACCUAGGAACUGCAUUUUGAAACUGAAAUACUAGAGUAUCGUAGAGGGAGGUAGAAUUCUAGGUGUAGCGGUGAAAUGCGUAGAUAUCUGGAGGAAUACCUGUGGCGAAAGCGGCCUCUAAACGAAUACUGACACUGAGGUGCGAAAGCGUGGGGAGCAAACAGGGAUUAGGAUACC